AGCUCCAAUAGCGUAUAUUAAAGUUGCUGCAGUUAAAAAGCUCGUAGUUGGAUUUGUGGCGCGGCCGUCCGGCGGGGGUCCUUCUAUGGUCUCGUUUGUCCUGGUUUUCGGCCGCUCCUUUCUCGGGUAGAGCGUAAUGGCUGGCAUUAGGUUGUCGGCCGCUUCGCGCCCGUCGUUUACUGUGAAAAAAUUAGAGUGUUCAAAGCAAGCGUUUGCCCUGAAUACAUUAGCAUGGAAUAAUAGAAUAGGACCUGGUCUUGUUCUGUUGGUUUGUCUAGUUCAGGUAAUGAUUAAGAGGGACGGUCGGGGGCAUUUGUACUCCGGAGCUAGAGGUGAAAUUCUUGGAUUUCCGGAAGACAAACAGCUGCGAAAGCGUCUGCCAAGGACGUUUUCAUUGAUC
rnacentral:rRNA from 1 species